UACGUAGGCAGCGAGCGUUUGUUCGGAGUUACUGGGCGUAAAGGGUGUGUAGGCGGUUGUUUUAAGUUUGGUGUGAAAUCUCCCCGGCUCAACUGGGAGGGUGCGCCGAAUACUGAAUGACUUGGAGUGCGGGAGAGGUGAGUGGAAUUCCUGGUGUAGCGGUGAAAUGCGUAGAUAUCAGGAGGAACACCGGUGGUGUAGACGGCUCACUGGACCGUAACUGACGCUGAGACACGAAAGCGUGGGUAGCAAACAGG
rnacentral:rRNA from 1 species